rnacentral:rRNA from 1 species
AUGAACGCUAGCGACAGGCUUAACACAUGCAAGUCGAGGGGCAGCACAGGUAGCAAUACCGGGUGGCGACCGGCGCACGGGUGAGUAACGCGUAUGCAACUUGCCUAUCAGAGGGGGAUAACCCGGCGAAAGUCGGACUAAUACCGCAUGAAGCAGGGGCCCCGCAUGGGGAUAUUUGCUAAAGAUUCAUCGCUGAUAGAUAGGCAUGCGUUCCAUUAGGCAGUUGGCGGGGUAACGGCCCACCAAACCGACGAUGGAUAGGGGUUCUGAGAGGAAGGUCCCCCACAUUGGUACUGAGACACGGACCAAACUCCUACGGGAGGCAGCAGUGAGGAAUAUUGGUCAAUGGCCGAGAGGCUGAACCAGCCAAGUCGCGUGAGGGAUGAAGGUUCUAUGGAUCGUAAACCUCUUUUAUAAGGGAAUAAAGUGCGGGACGUGUCCCGUUUUGUAUGUACCUUAUGAAUAAGGAUCGGCUAACUCCGUGCCAGCAGCCGCGGUAAUACGGAGGAUCCGAGCGUUAUCCGGAUUUAUUGGGUUUAAAGGGUGCGUAGGCGGCCUUUUAAGUCAGCGGUGAAAGUCUGUGGCUCAACCAUAGAAUUGCCGUUGAAACUGGGGGGCUUGAGUAUGUUUGAGGCAGGCGGAAUGCGUGGUGUAGCGGUGAAAUGCAUAGAUAUCACGCAGAACCCCGAUUGCGAAGGCAGCCUGCCAAGCCAUUACUGACGCUGAUGCACGAAAGCGUGGGGAUCAAACAGGAUUAGAUACCCUAGUAGUCCACGCAGUAAACGAUGAUCACUAGCUGUUUGCGAUACACUGUAAGCGGCACAGCGAAAGCGUUAAGUGAUCCACCUGGGGAGUACGCCGGCAACGGUGAAACUCAAAGGAAUUGACGGGGGCCCGCACAAGCGGAGGAACAUGUGGUUUAAUUCGAUGAUACGCGAGGAACCUUACCCGGGUUUGAACGCAUUCGGACCGAGGUGGAAACACCUUUUCUAGCAAUAGCCGUUUGCGAGGUGCUGCAUGGUUGUCGUCAGCUCGUGCCGUGAGGUGUCGGCUUAAGUGCCAUAACGAGCGCAACCCUUGCCACUAGUUACUAACAGGUAAAGCUGAGGACUCUGGUGGGACUGCCAGCGUAAGCUGCGAGGAAGGCGGGGAUGACGUCAAAUCAGCACGGCCCUUACAUCCGGGGCGACACACGUGUUACAAUGGCGUGGACAAAGGGAAGCCACCUGGCGACAGGGAGCGAAUCCCCAAACCACGUCUCAGUUCGGAUCGGAGUCUGCAACCCGACUCCGUGAAGCUGGAUUCGCUAGUAAUCGCGCAUCAGCCAUGGCGCGGUGAAUACGUUCCCGGGCCUUGUACACACCGCCCGUCACACCAUGAGAGUUGGCAACACCCGAAGCCGGCGGCCCAACCCGCAAGGGAGGGAGCUGUCUAAGGUGGGGCUGAUGAUUGGGGUG